UACGUAGGGGGCGAGCGUUGUCCGGAUUUAUUGGGCGUAAAGAGCUCGUAGGCGGUUUGGCAAGUCGGGUGUGAAAACUCCGGCUCAACUCGGAGACGCCACUCGAUACUGCCAUGACUCGAGUCCGGUAGGGGAGUGCGGAAUUCCUGGUGUAGCGGUGAAAUGCGCAGAUAUCAGGAGGAACACCGGUGGCGAAGGCGGCACUCUGGGACGGUACUGACGCUGAGGAGCGAAAGCGUGGGGAGCGAACAGG
rnacentral:rRNA from 1 species